CAUAUGUCCGGAUAUGCCAUCGAGCCUGUCCAUCCAUGCCUAAGCCUGGUGAUAACCUUGGUGGCCAUCACAUACCCCAGCUGGGACUGCUGAAUAUGUUGAUUCAGAGCUCACUAGGAGUUCUGGAGCAUCCAGAGAAAAAGGCAGGGAUGAGAUUGGCGAUGAGCCUCUUCUGCUGACCUGGUGUUAACCCUGUUUUUAUUCAGCCGCAUCUACAAAAGAAUCCAGGGCACUGGACCCAGAAGCCAUCGGCAGGCUUUGAGCUGAGGAAUCACACGGCUUACAAAAUACAUCAAUGCAAAAGAAAAUCAAGAUUUCAAUAAAUAUAUUGGGUGAGGAAAUCAAGGCCAAAUUACAAUGUGGAAGUCUAAUCAGAUGAACACAAAGCACAUGCCAUAAGGUUCUAUGCAUUUACUGCCAGUUGGCCAGAGAUGUGGAUCUACGGUUUCAAGCUGCCUAAAUAGAAAGAGAGAAAGUUGGGGCACCUGGGUGGCUCAGUGGUUGACCGUCUGCCUUUUGCUCAGGUCAGUGAUCCCGGGGUCCUGGGUUGAGUCCCGCAUCGGGCUCCCUGCAGGGAGCCUGCUUCUCCCUCUGCCUGUGUCUCUGCCUCUCUGUCUCUCAUGAAUAAAUAAAUAACAUCUUAAAAAAAAAAAGAAGAGGAAAGGUGAUCACCAACAGGAGUCACAGUAUCCCUGAGGUCAAACCUGAAUGACUGCACAGAAGGAAUAACUAUGCUGUUCCCUGAGGUAGGUUUCUCCCAGGAGUCAUCCAAGGGAGGUUACCGUAUAAUGAGUGAACUUCCUCUCCAACACUGUCCCAACACCUCUCAGAUACAACAGUAACAUUCAUGGACAUUUUUUUUUUUUUUUUACAACACUCCUGUGUGAGCACAGUUGAACAAAGUAGUUUGUUUCCUUACCCUCACCACCACUACCAAAUUGUUUGUGAACAGUGUUCAUUGAUUCGUGGGUGCCCUAAUGUGUUUUCUUUGCUUGUCUGUUUCACUGUUUGGUGUGCUAUUUAUCGUCUGUUUUUGUUCCUCAGGGUUAUUUACCCUCUGCCUAUUAUACGUGUUAGAAACAGU